UAAUGUUAUUCAGUGAUUGAACCUAAGAAAAAGAAAAAGUUGAACUUGAGUUUGCUCAGCAUUCUAAAGAGGCUAAAUAUUGGACAAAUUAAGAAGAGAGCACAGAUUCUGUCUUGUUGGGUGGUAGAAAACUGAGUAAGAAAAAGGCAUAGGCUUGUUCUAGAAUUUACAUAAUAAUACCAUACACCUGCAAUUUAUACGUAGAGAUUUUCAAUGCAGCAAUACAGAAACUUAUUUCACUGUUAAAAACCUAUCUGGCUGACAAAAUUAGUGACUUUAUUCUGAAAAGGGACACAAUGAGAUUACUAACAAGCCUCAAAUCUAUUCCAAAAUUCAGAACAAGUUUCAAAAUCUGAUACCACCCCCUUUAUUUAUUCCUCUUCUUUUUCUCAUUCCCCAUGAAUAUGCCCACACAAAAAUGUCACAAAUUUCUGAGCAAAUCAUCUGCUAACUUCCAGGUCCACUCAACAUUUUGGUAUCUUCAGCUACCCCCAAGCCUGGCCCUUUUUGGAGGGUUUGACCUGUACCAUUAUUGUUGUAAACCUUAAAGAUUGAUCUGCUGGUGGACUUCUCUCUUUUGUCCUCCACCAGUGAUAGCUCACAAAAUUUUUAAAAACAACUUUAUUGGAGCAUAAUUAAUAUACACUAACUUGCCCAUAUUUAAAGUGUUCAAUUUGUUUAGUUUGGAUAUAUGUGUAUACCUGUGAAAUUACCAACACAAUCAAGACAAUGAACAUAUCAAUUACUCCAAAAAACUUCAUCAUGAUUAUCCCUUAUUGUGAUUCUUCCCUUGAACUCCUUCCCAUCCAUCUCUAAGCAACCACUGCUUCUAGUCACAGUCGAUUGAUUUUCACUUUCCAGAAUUCUAUAUAAAUAGAAUCACGCAGUAUAAGAUUUGUAAGAAUAUACAGUCCAACACUGCUAUUGAAAUUAACCUAUUUUCUGCUUUUACAGCAUCAAUAACAAUUAGCUUUUAAACUUUGUCUUUUGCCAUUAACUAGCCUUGCACAGUUAAUCACAUUUUACAAGAGUAAAAUUUCACAGAUCUCUUUCACUGUGUCAUAAAAUACAGUAAGAAGGAAUCAAUUUAGUUUCCCCAAUACCAAAUCUGUAUUAGUCAGGGUCUUUCAGAGAGGCGGAUCCAGUAGGAUAUAUAUAGACAUUGAGAGUGAAUUUAUUAGGGGAAUUGGCUUGCAUAAUUUUGGUGGCUGAGAAGUCCCAUGAUAGGCCGUCUGUAAGCUGAAGACCAUGGGAUGACUGUAGCAUGACUCAGCCCAAGUCCAAAGGCCUCAGCACCAGGGAAGCCCAUGGUGUAACUCUCAGUCUGAGGCUAAAAGUCUUAACAUUCUGGAGCCACUCCAGAUAUAAUUGCUGUAGUUGAAAGGCCAGUGAGCCUGCAGUUCUGCUGUCCAAAGUAGCACAAGAAAAGUCUGUCCCAGCUCUGAGAGAGAGAUCAAUUUUCCUUCUGCAUUUGUUCUCUCUGGUUCCCUGAUGCAGGCCAGCACUGAGGGAAGAUCUUCCCCACCUAGUCCACUCAGACUCACACACUAAUCUUAUCCAUUAUUUUGGAUGUGUCUGGAAGCACUUUUACAGACCCAUGAAAAAAUAAUGCUUUAUCAAGUGUCUAGAUAGUCCUUAAUCCAGUCAAGUUGACACCUAAAAUUAUGUCUAUAAAUGUACCCCUUGUCAACUUGGCACCCAUACUUAAUUGCAUCUCCUUAAACUAUACUUAAUUUCCAAAUAAAGGCAAUACCAAGGGAAUAGUUCUGCCUAAUAUGUUGUAAUUAACAGAAUGCAACUAUCCCGUAUGCAACCAAAAAUGUACCGAUGUCUUCCCCAGAAUUCAACUUUCAGAAUUUCAACAUUCUGAAUUGUAAUUUCUGCAGUUUUUGAUGUUAGGAAUUUUUAGAUUUCAGAGAUGUUGAUCUUUAGGGAUGUUGAACUUUGGGAUUUUAACAUUUAGGAUUAUGGCAUUUCUAAUUGCAUGUUUUGAGAUUAUAAUCAGCACUCCCCCCGACUCCCCAAAAAAGAAACUACACAACAUGGACUCAGAGGUUUGUAAACAGCAAUUUAUUUCUUUGUUUUGGAGGCUGGGAAGUCCAAGAUCAAGAUCCUGUCAGAUUCAGUGUCUGGUGAGAGUCCACUUCCAGGGUUAUAGAUUACCAUUUUUAAGCUGUACUUCACAUGGCAAAAGGGAUCAGUUGUCUCUCAGGGAUCUCUUUCAUGAAGGCAAUAACCCCAUUCAUGAAGGCGGAGCCCUCAUGACCUAGUUGUCUCCCAAAGGCCCUACCUACUAAUACCUUGGAGGUUAGGAUCUCAACAUAUGAAUUUUGAGGAGACACAAACAUUUAGACCAUAGCACUAAGUAAUAUUUUGUUUAAUUCCAGACAUUGUAAACUAAACUUUGCUGAGUUUUAAAUUAUUUUUAUUGCUUUAGAUAUUUCAAGGUUUAGUCUAGAACACUGUUAUGUUCUUGGAAACAAUUUGAUUCUUUGGGUCUUGUCUUUAAAAUUUGUUAGGUGGGAUCCAGUCAGCAAGUAGCUAGGGCUAAUUAUUUCCCACCACUGUGGUAAGACUCAUCUGUGAACUCUACCCAAUACCCCAUGAAUUGUGAGUUUUCCAUGUGAAUGGUCGCUUUUCCUGGCCCCGUGUGUAACUCUAAUCCUUUCAUUAUUCUUUCCCCAGACUCAGGUAAUUUGCUCACAUGCAUGCACUUAACAAUACUCAGCUGAAUACUCAAAGGGGACUCUACAGAUAUUCAGCUCUCUCUCCUUGCCUCCUCCCUACUCCCGCUCUCUCUCUCUCUCUCUCUUUCUCUCUCGCUCUUUCUCCCUGCAACUUUCUCCUCUAUGAGGCUAUUUCCUGUGAAUUCUAGCCACCUUAGUCUCCCAGAUUCUCAGCUGCUUCUCCCCAACUCUGGUACUCCUCUGAUCAUUCUCUGGGUUUCCUGCUCCACGGUAGCCUGGAAACUAUCUCAAGGCAGUAAACUCAGCUUAGCUUCUCAUCGCUUAUGGAUCACAAUCCUUGAGAUCCAGGCAACAACUAUUCUUGUUGCCUCAUUUUCAGUGUCUUGAAAAUCACUGCUACACAUGUUUGGUUUGGCUUUUAGUUGUUUCAGGUGGGAUGGUAAACACACUUCCUGUUUCUUCAUUUUGAAUAAAAGCAAAAAUGUCUGUUCAUCUAGCUUUUGAAUUUUGCACUAAUCUAUUUCUUCCAUUUUUCGACUAUAUCUUUUCAAUUAGGCUCUUAUUCUACUAGGUUUUUGCUAUAAUAUUCACUUUCACUGCAUUUAGUCUUGCUCUUAUUUCCAUUUUUACCCUGGCCACCAAUCAUCCUCAAAGUUACUAGCAAGAGGAGAUAUGUAAAAGACAAAGCACUUUAAUAUUCAUGUUUCAAACUAUUUAAUGUCAUUACUUGCCUGCAGUGUAAAAUUAUAAUUCUUUAACUUGGUAUAUAAAACUCCUCUUCGUGUAGUCCUUGUUUACCUCAGCAAUAAUAACAACAUUAUCAACAACAACAACAAAAAGGUAAUAUUGAGCAUGCCAUCUGGCAGGGACUGGUAGAUGUCUUUUUGAAAACAAGGCAGUUCCUAUCCUGGUAUCUUAAGACUAGCAAGUAAGAUAAACAAUAAAUAUAAAAACAUAAUCGACAGUCCUCAUAAGUACAGGGUGUCUUGAGUGUUUAUUUUCUGGGGUCAUUCAGGGUUGGAGUUAUUUCUCCUAGUGAAGGGAGGUUUAACUGAGAAAUAAAGAGUUAUCUUAGAGAAAGGUACUGAUAGGGAGGCAGUAAACACAGAAGGAACAAUAUGUAUGACAUACUAUGAGGCAGGGAGAGAUUUGGCAUGCCCAAGAAAUGGAAGAAAGCAGGGUGCCUUUGUUGACUGAGUUCUAGUGAAUGUCUCUUUGGAAGGCUGGAGAUGCUACUUUGAUUCCCCAUUUCAGGCCCAUCAUUAACACCUGACAAUAUGUAUGCCAUGAUAAACCAUUAGUAGUUAUUUCGAGCUGAUAUGUUUUUAUAUAUAAAUAUUCAUUUGUAUGUGCUGUUUCUUAUGCCUUAAACUCCUUUAUCAUUUGUCCCUUUGGCAAUGUUUUUCUCAUCUUUUAGGACACAAUUUAAGCCUUUCCUCAGAGAAAAGAGUUUUCUGACUAUUCAUUCCUUUCUCUCAAUAGAUAGGACUACUUCAUCCAUCAUUUUUACCCCCACACUUUAACUUUAUGUUCAUUGUUGUUAUCAUAUGUGUUUCUCUUACUUGAAUCUGAGUUAUAUAGAGCUAAAACCAUGUUUUGCUAAUUUUUGUUUCACCAUUUGUAAUAUCAGUAAUAGUCAUGGCUAAUUCUCUUGGUGUACUUCAUCCCAUUAGAAAAGAAAUGACAAAUGCUGUGUCUCAACAACUUACACAAAAUUACUCAUUAGACACAUUUGAUUAUGGAAAUAAAAUUAAAAGUGGAUAUAAUAAAACAUUAAUUAUUUAAUUGUUUUACCUGUUUUGCUUUAGUUUUUUUACAUAAUUUUUCUACAUGACAGUACCUUUUUGUGUCUCAUAUAUUUGUCCAAAAUGAAGUUCAAAAAUGUAAAAUAUUUAAUUCAGCAACAGCAGCAUAUGAGUUAGUAUUUCCUCUAAUUUUUCGAAAUCUGUGGGAAGUGUUUCCCAAUUUCCUUUGGUUGUUUCAUGUCCCAUAUUGAAGAAAACAUGAGUACGAAAUGGAACCUCAGCUCUUUCAAUGACUUCUCUUUUUGAGUUGACUCCGCCUCCAUAUGUAGCCUUUUCAUUUUCAUGAGAGUGAAGUGAUUUUUAGAAUUCUUAGUCCUUUUCUUUAGAAGAACAUUUCUACGGAACAAUACAAGAAGAUUUAAGAAUCAUUGAAGUUAUAAAACUUUGGAAUGAACAAACUCAGAAUGGUGCCACUUGAAGACUCUGGAUCUGCUGACGUCAGAAGACAUUUUGUCAACUUGAGUCCCUUCACUAUUGCUGUGAUCUUACUUCUCAGUGCCUGUUUUAUCACCAGUUCUCUUGGAGGAACAGACAAGGAGCUGAGGCUAGUGGAUGGUGAAAACAAGUGUAGUGGGAGAGUGGAAGUGAAAGUCCAGGAGGAGUGGGGAACGGUGUGUAAUAAUGGCUGGAGCAUGGAAGCGGUCUCUGUGAUUUGUAACCAGCUGGGAUGUCCAACUGCUAUCAAAGCCACUGGAUGGGCUAAUUCCAGUGCAGGUUCUGGACGCAUUUGGAUGGAUCACAUUUCUUGUCGUGGGAAUGAGUCAGCUCUUUGGGACUGCAAACAUGAUGGAUGGGGAAAGCAUAGUAACUGUACUCACCAACAAGAUGCUGGAGUGACCUGCUCAGAUGGAUCCAAUUUGGAAAUGAGGCUGACGAAUGGAGGGAAUAUGUGUUCUGGAAGAAUAGAGAUCAAAUUCCAAGGACGGUGGGGAACAGUGUGUGAUGACAACUUCAACAUCGAUCAUGCAUCUGUGGUUUGUAAACAACUUGAAUGUGGAAGUGCUGUCAGUUUCUCUGGUUCAGCUAAUUUUGGAGAAGGCUCUGGACCAAUCUGGUUUGAUGAUCUUAUAUGCAACGGAAAUGAGUCAGCUCUCUGGCACUGCAAACAUCAAGGAUGGGGAAAGCAUAACUGUGAUCAUGCUGAGGAUGCUGGAGUAAUUUGCUCAAAGGGAGCAGAUCUGAGCCUGAGACUGGUAGAUGGAGUCACUGAAUGUUCAGGAAGAUUAGAAGUGAGAUUCCAAGGAGAAUGGGGGACAAUAUGUGAUGACGGCUGGGACAGUCAUGAUGCUGCUGUGGCAUGCAAGCAACUGGGAUGUCCAACUGCUAUCACCGCCAUUGGUCGAGUUAACGCCAGUGAGGGAUUUGGACACAUCUGGCUUGACAGUGUUUCUUGCCAGGGACAUGAACCUGCGGUCUGGCAAUGUAAACACCAUGAAUGGGGAAAGCAUUAUUGCAAUCACAACGAAGAUGCUGGCGUAACAUGUUCUGAUGGAUCAGAUCUGGAGCUAAGACUUAGAGGUGGAGGCAGCCGCUGUGCUGGGACAGUUGAGGUGGAGAUUCAGAGACUGUUAGGGAAGGUGUGUGACAGAGGCUGGGGACUGAAAGAAGCUGAUGUGGUUUGCAGGCAGCUGGGAUGUGGAUCUGCACUCAAAACAUCCUAUCAAGUGUACUCCAAAAUCCAGGCAACAAACAUGUGGCUGUUUCUAAGUAGCUGUAACGGAAAUGAAACUUCUCUUUGGGACUGCAAGAACUGGCAAUGGGGUGGACUUACCUGUGAUCACUAUGAAGAAGCCAAAAUUACCUGCUCAGCCCACAGGGAACCCAGACUGGUUGGAGGAGACAUUCCCUGUUCUGGACGCGUUGAAGUGAAGCAUGGUGACACAUGGGGCUCCGUCUGUGAUUCGGACUUCUCUCUGGAAGCUGCCAGCGUUCUAUGCAGGGAAUUACAGUGUGGCACAGUCGUCUCUAUCCUGGGGGGAGCUCACUUUGGAGAGGGAAAUGGACAGAUCUGGGCUGAAGAAUUCCAGUGUGAGGGACAUGAGUCCCAUCUUUCACUCUGCCCAGUAGCACCACGCCCAGAAGGGACUUGUAGCCACCGCAGGGAUGUUGGAGUAGUCUGCUCAAGAUACACAGAAAUUCGCUUGGUGAAUGGCAAGACCCCAUGUGAGGGCAGAGUGGAGCUCAAAACGCUUGGUGCCUGGGGAUCCCUCUGCAACUCUCACUGGGACAUAGAAGAUGCCCAUGUUCUUUGCCAGCAGCUUAAAUGUGGAGUUGCCCUUUCUACCCCAGGAGGAGCACAUUUUGGAGAAGGAAAUGGUCAGGUCUGGAGGCAUAUGUUUCACUGCACUGGGACUGAGCAGCACAUGGGAGAUUGUUCUGUAACUGCUCUGGGUGCUUCACUAUGUCCUUCAGGGCAAGUGGCCUCUGUAAUUUGCUCAGGAAACCAGUCCCAAACACUGUCCUCAUGCAAUUCAUCAUCUCUGGGCCCAACAAGGCCUACCAUUCCAGAAGAAAGUGCUGUGGCCUGCAUAGAGAGUGGCCAACUUCGCCUGGUAAAUGGAGGAGGUCGCUGUGCUGGGAGAGUAGAGAUCUAUCAUGAGGGCUCCUGGGGCACCAUCUGUGAUGACAGCUGGGACCUGAGUGAUGCCCACGUGGUGUGCAGACAGCUGGGCUGUGGAGAGGCCAUUAAUGCCACUGGUUCUGCUCAUUUUGGAGAAGGAACAGGGCCCAUCUGGCUGGAUGAGAUGAAAUGCAAUGGAAAAGAAUCCCGCAUUUGGCAGUGCCAUUCAUAUGGCUGGGGGCAGCAAAAUUGCAGGCACAAGGAGGAUGCAGGAGUUAUCUGCUCAGAGUUCAUGUCUCUGAGACUGACCAGUGAAGCCAGCAGAGAGGCCUGUGCUGGGCGUCUAGAAGUUUUUUACAACGGAGCUUGGGGCAGUGUUGGCAGGAGUAGCAUGUCUGAAACCACUGUGGGUGUGGUGUGCAGGCAGCUGGGCUGUGCAGACAAAGGGAAAAUCAACCCUGAAUCUUUCAACAAGGCCAUGUCCAUUCCCAUGUGGGUGGACAAUGUUCGGUGUCCAAAAGGACCUGACACGCUGUGGCAGUGCCCAUCAUCUCCAUGGGAGAAGAGACUGGCCAGGCCCUUGGAGGAGACCUGGAUCACAUGUGACAACAAGAUAAGACUACAAGAAGGACCCACUUCCUGUUCUGGACGUGUGGAGAUCUGGCAUGGAGGUUCCUGGGGGACAGUGUGUGAUGACUCCUGGGACUUGAAUGAUGCUCAGGUGGUGUGUCAACAACUUGGCUGUGGUCCAGCUUUGAAAGCAUUCAAAGAAGCAGAGUUUGGUCAGGGGACUGGACCCAUAUGGCUCAAUGAAGUGAAGUGCAAAGGGAAUGAGUCUUCCUUGUGGGAUUGUCCUGCCAGACGCUGGGGCCACAGUGAGUGUGGACACAAGGAAGACGCUGCAGUGAAUUGCACAGAUAUUCCAACGCACGAAACCCUGCGAAGAGCCACAACAGGUCACGCAUCCCGUCAGUCAUCCCUUAUUGCAGUUGGAAUCCUUGGAGUUGUUCUCUUGGCCAUUUUCGUCGCAUUAUUCUUGACUCAAAAGCGAAGACAGAGACGGCGGCUUGCAGGUUUAAGCCAAAUUAGGGUUUAUCUAUUUCCUCAAGAGGAGAGAACUUAGUCCACCAAAUUCAAUACCGGGAGAUGAAUUCUUGCCUGAAUACAGAUGAUCUGGACCUAAUGAUUUCCUCAGGAGGCCAUUCUGAGGCACACUGAAAAGGAAAAUGGGAAUUUAUAACCCAGUGAGCCUUGAAGAUACCUUGAUGAAGACCUGGACUAUUGAAUGGAGCAGAAAUUCACCUCCCUCACUGACUAUUACAGUUGCAUUUUUAUGGAGUUCUUCUUCUCCUAGUAUUCCUAAGACUGCUGCUGACUUUAUAAAAAUUAAGUUUGUGAAUGUGACUACUUAAUAGUGUAUAUGAGACUUUCAAGGGAAUUAAAUAAGUAAAUAAAUAAGAAUAUUA